GUUCUGUGGCCUGUGGAAUGAGAGGGCACAGACCUGGGGCCUGGAGGACAGACGGCAGAACUGCGGGGAUUCAGCCUGGCAGCCUGUGAAGAUGAUUGGUAAACACUGCGUGCAGGACUCUGGGGGCCCAGAGCAAACUCCAGUUGCAAAACCACCACCUGCACCUGUGCACUGGCAACAAAUUGACAGCCCCAGCCCUUCUCUGAAGAUCAGGAAGAUUCUCAGGAAUGGUUGCCCCUUGGACUGGUGGAGGAGCAGGAGUUCUGGGAAGAGAACCGUUCCAGGAGCCUGGCCUGCCCUUGAGAUACAGUGAGUUUUCCUCUGAGGUCUUGUCAUGUCUGGAAAUAUUGAAGCCAUCUUGCCAUCACCUUGAGAAGGAGUUGAAGCCUGAGGAUGGCAGAGCAGAAAGACGAUAAAAUCUUACUUGGAAACUGAAUAUAAAAAUCAAAUGAAAGAGGAACUAUUUCGAUUGAACAUUGGUGACAUUCAGAAACCCAUGUAUGUAUCCCCUCAGUCCUUUGGACUAUUUCCAAAAAUUUUGCAGGGCUUCA